AGAGCGAACGCUGGCGGCAGGCUUAACACAUGCAAGUCGAGCGGGCGUAGCAAUACGUCAGCGGCAGACGGGUGAGUAACGCGUGGGAACAUACCUUUUGGUUCGGAACAACACAGGGAAACUUGAGCUAAUACCGGAUACGCCCUUACGGGGAAAGAUUUAUUGCCGAAGGAACGGCCCGCGUCCGAUUAGCUAGUUGGUGAGGUAAUGGCUCACCAAGGCGACGAUCGGUAGCUGGUCUGAGAGGAUGACCAGCAUCACUGGGACUGAGACACGGCCCAGACUCCUACGGGAGGCAGCAGUGGGGAAUAUUGGACAAUGGGCGCAAGCCUGAUCCAGCCAUGCCGCGUGGAUGAUGAAGGCCUUAGGGUUGUAAAGUCCUUUUAACGGGGAAGAUAAUGACGGUACCCGUAGAAUAAGCCCGGCUAACUUCGUGCCAGCAGCCGC
rnacentral:rRNA from 1 species